rnacentral:rRNA from 1 species
UACGUAGGAGGCAAGCGUUUGUCCGGAAUUACUGGGCGUAAAGCGCGUGUAGGUGGUGGGACAAGUCUGCUGUGAAAGCGCCUGGCUUAACCGGGCGAGGUCGGCGGAAACUGUCCGACUCGAGGACGGUAGAGGGGGGUGGAAUUCCCGGUGUAGUGGUGAAAUGCGUAGAGAUCGGGGAGGAACACCUGUGGCGAAGGCGGCCCCCUGGGCCGGCCCUGACACUGAGACGCGAAGGCGUGGGGAGCGAACGGG